rnacentral:pre_miRNA from 1 species
AGAAGAAUCACCUGGGGAUCUUGUUAAACUGCAGAUUCUAAUUCAGUAGUUCUCAGUGGUGCGCUAUAUUCUGCUUUUCUAACAAGCUCCCAGGUGACGCCAAU